AUUGAACGCUGGCGGCAGGCCUAACACAUGCAAGUCGAGCGGAGCGGCGGACGGGUGAGUAAUGCCUAGGAAUCUGCCUGGUAGUGGGGGAUAACGUCCGGCAACGGGCGCUAAUACCGAAUACUAUCAGUUGAGCCUAGGUCGGAUUAGCUAGUAGGUGGGGGAACGGCUCACCUAGGCGACGAACCCUAGCUGGUCUGAGAGGAUGACCAGCCACACUGGAACUGAGACACGGUCCAGACUCCUACGGGAGGCAGCAGUGGGGAAUAUUGCACAAUGGGCGCAAGCCUGAUGCAGCCAGGCCGCGUGUGUGAAGAAGGCCUUCGGGUUGUAAAGCACUUUCAGCGGGGAGGCGUUACCCGCAGAAGAAGCACCGGCUAACUCCGUGCCAGCAGCCGCGGUAAUUC
rnacentral:rRNA from 1 species